rnacentral:rRNA from 1 species
GACGAACGCUGGCGGCGUGCCUAACACAUGCAAGUCAACUUGACUGAAGGAGCAAUCUGACAGUAGAGUGGCGCAAGGGUGCGUAACGCGUAAGUAACUUGCCCCAAGGUAAGGAAUAACGUCGAGAAAUACGGCGCUAAUACUCAUAAUGCAGCGGAUCCGCAUGGAUAUGUUGUUAAAGGUUUACCGCCUUGGAUAGGCUUGCGUCUGAUUAGCUAGUUGGUGUGGUAACGGCACACCAAGGCUACGAUCAGUAACUGGUCUGAGAGGAUGAUCAGUCACACUGGAACUGAGACACGGUCCAGACUCCUACGGGAGGCAGCAGUGAGGAAUAUUGGGCAAUGCUCGAAAGAGUGACCCA